rnacentral:lncRNA from 1 species
CGGGACCCCCCCGGGGACCCCCGCGGGACCCCCCGCUCAGCGCCGCUGCCCCGCAGGUGGCGAGGGGGGGAGCGAUGCGCAACGGCCCCGCGCCCCCCAUCCCGCGGUUGGGCAUCGCGCCCUACAACUGGAACACGGAGUGUCUCCGGGGCGAUGCCGAGGCACCUGGGUGGGCCACGGCCUUCCCACAGGCGCUGGGGCUCGCUGCCACCUUCAGCCCUGAGCUCAUCUACCGGGUGGCCAACGCCACGGCCACCGAGGUGAGAGCCAAGCACAACGACUUCGCAGCCACCGGCCGCUACGGGGACCACACCGGGCUCAGCUGCUUCAGCCCCGUCCUGAACAUCAUGAGACACCCGCUGUGGGGCAGGAACCAGGAGACCUACGGGGAGGACCCGUUCCUGAGCGGGGAGCUGGGCCGCAGCUUUGUGCAGGGGCUGCAGGGCCAGCACCCCCGCUACAUCAAGGCCAGCGCCGGCUGCAAACACUUCAGUGUGCACGGGGGCCCUGAGAACAUCCCCGAAUCCAGGCUCAGCUUCGACGCCAAGGCGAGUGCGGCGGGUCCAGGGGUGGCAGGAGGGCAGGUGACACUCCAGGUGCUGACCCUGCUCUGCUGCGGCGCUUGCAGGUGCUGGAGCGGGACUGGCGCAUGACCUUCCUGCCCCAGUUCCAUGCGUGUGUCCGUGCUGGCUCCUUCAGCUUCAUGUGCAGCUACAACAGGUUGGGAGCACGGUGGGGGCCACAUGGGCUGGGCUGCCCAUGGCAUGGCCGGUGCCUGGCUCUCCAGGCUGCCCCAUCCCCUCUCCGACAGGAUCAACGGUGUUCCCGCCUGUGCCAACAAGAAGCUGCUGACAGACAUCCUGCGUGGCGAGUGGGGCUUCGAGGGGUACGUGGUGAGCGAUGAGGGGGCCCUGGAACUCAUCAUGCUGGGGCACCACUACACACACACCUUCCUGGAGACGGCAGUCGCCUCAGUCAACGCCGGCUGCAACCUGGAGCUCUCCUAUGGCAUGAGGAACAACAUCUUCAUGCACAUCCCUCAGGCUCUGGCCAUGGGCAACAUCACGCUGCAGAUGCUGCGUGACCGAGUCCGGCCCCUCUUCUACACGCGGAUGCGGCUGGGGGAGUUCGACCCCCCAGAGAUGAACCCCUACAGUGCCCUGGACCUGAGCGUGGUGCAGAGCCCUGAGCACCGCAACCUCUCGCUGGAAGCUGCUGUCAAGAGCUUUGUGCUGCUGAAGAACAUUCGGGGCACUCUGCCCCUGCGGGCCCAGGACCUGCCCGGCCAGCGCCUCGCGGUGGUGGGUCCCUUCGCUGACAACCCCAGGGUGCUGUUCGGGGACUACGCGCCGGUGCCAGAGCCUCAGUACAUCCACACUCCCCGGAGGGGGCUGGAGACGCUGGGGGCCAACGUCAGCUUCGCGGCGGGCUGCGGCGAGCCCCGGUGCUGGCGGUACUCCCGGG